GGAGUUGUGGUUAAGUUGCAGAGCAUCUGUUUGGCAUGCAAGAGAUCCUGGAUUCAAUUCCCAGCAUCUCCA
rnacentral:tRNA from 1 species